rnacentral:misc_RNA from 1 species
GAUGAAGAACGCAGCGAAAUGCGAUAAGUAAUGUGAAUUGCAGAAUUCAGUGAAUCAUCGAAUCUUUGAACGCACAUUGCGCCCGCCAGUAUUCUGGCGGGCAUGCCUGUUCGAGCGUCAUUUCAACCAUCAGGCCCCGGGCUUGUGUUGGGGACCUGCGGCUGCCGCAGGCCCUGAAAUGCAGUGGCGGGCUCGCUGUCACUCCGAGCGUAGUAGUUACAUCUCGCUCUGGGCGUGCUGCGGGUUCCGGCCGUUAAAAGCCUUAUUUACCCAAGGUUGACCUCGGAUCAGGUAGGAAGACCCGCUGAACUUAAGCAUAUCAAUAAGCGGAGGA